GGUGAACGCUGGCGGCGUGCCUAAUACAUGCAAGUCGAGCGAACAGACGAGGAGCUUGCUCCUCUGACGUUAGCGGCGGACGGGUGAGUAACACGUGGAUAACCUACCUAUAAGACUGGGAUAACUUCGGGAAACCGGAGCUAAUACCGGAUAAUAUAUUGAACCGCAUGGUUCAAUAGUGAAAGACGGUUUUGCUGUCACUUAUAGAUGGAUCCGCGCCGCAUUAGCUAGUUGGUAAGGUAACGGCUUACCAAGGCAACGAUGCGUAGCCGACCUGAGAGGGUGAUCGGCCACACUGGAACUGAGACACGGUCCAGACUCCUACGGGAGGCAGCAGUAGGGAAUCUUCCGCAAUGGGCGAAAGCAUGACGGAGCAACGCCGCGUGAGUGAUGAAGGUCUUCGGAUCGUAAAACUCUGUUAUUAGGGAAGAACAAAUGUGUAAGUAACUAUGCACGUCUUGACGGUACCUAAUCAGAAAGCCACGGCUAACUACGU
rnacentral:rRNA from 1 species